AAAUGGGGGUUAGCGCUCGAUUUCGUUGGUCCCAUCCAAUUCAAGUGCAUGCAAUUGGAUUGUUUCCUUAUUCAAUGAAGGAAUUUUUAAGUUCAACCAACCUAUUUUCAAAAUAGGAAGUGGAUAAAUAAAAAUUUUGGGAGAGUCUUUCAUUUGUCCAUCAUUAUAGGCAACACCAUCCAUAUUAUCUAUGGAAUUCGAACCCGAACUCUAUUUAUGAUUCCUUAUUUCUAUCUCAUUAGCCUUGUUUCAAUUUCAUUUCAUAUUUUAUUUUAGCAUAUCGAUUUUUUUUUACUUUACGUCCAACCUCUCCCCCCUUUUUCCAUCUAUAUUCCCUUUUUUUUUCAUUUCAGGGCCGAAUUACGCCUGUUUUCACAUCUAGGAUUUACAUAUACAACAUAUAUUACUGUCAAGGGUGAAUUUUUUAUUUUAUUGAGCUUAUAAUAUAUAAUUUAUAUUAGAUGUUAGAAUAUUAAUUCUAUUAUAUAUUUAUCUAUUCUAUUAUAUAUAUAUUCUAAUAUAUAUUAGUAUUAUUUUUAUAUUAUUUAUGUAACACCCCGCACCCGAGACCGCUGUCGGAGUCGGACACGAGGGGUUAACGGCUUAAACCACUCAUUUUCACAGUCCAUUUUAAAAAUUUCUAGGCAGUUGGCUAACUGCAUCACUGUCACUUUAAAAAUUAUAUCUUGAGUUCCAGAACUCGAAAAUAAGUUUUGUAAUUUUUCCCUGAAACUAGACUCAUAUUUUCAUCUACAGAUUUUUUUCUAGAAUUUUGUGUUGGGCCAAUUAGUACAGUUUAUUAGUUGAAGUCUCCCCUAUUACAGGGUGCGACUACACUGACCUUCAUGCAUUUCGACCUGGAUAUCUCCCUGUACAGGGCUUCAAUACUGAUGCCGUUUGUUUCUAUAGAAACUAGACUCAAAAAGGAAUCUAUACAUAUAUGGCAUGACUUCUAAAUGUCUCUGGUUAAUUUAUAAUAAAUUUCCAAAGUCAGAUCAAGGGAUCCAGAAACCGUUCUGGCCCUGUCUCACGAAAACUUUAACAUCUCAUAAUAUAAUCUUCAUAUUAACAUUUCGUUACUUUCCUAUGAAAAUAGAUUCAUCAAGGUUCGAUUACAUAAUUUAUUCACUAUUUAAUUCCAUUCCUACUAUUUUUAGUGAUUUUUCACAUCCACAUCACUGCUGCUGCCAGCAUCUAUUUUUAAGGUAAACUUUACCUAUUUCAUGAUCCUUCAUGGAUCAACUAGAGUUUGUCAUACAUAUAUCAAAAGUGAUCAUGAAUAACCAUUCCCAUGGCUAACUGUUGCCAACAUUUCCAUACCUCUCGACGGACAACAUACAAAACGAUUAUAAUGCUAUGAUCAAAGUAUAUUUAAGCCAUUUUCACAUGGCUAUCCAAAUUUACACAAUACCGAAGGGUUCAUGACCAACAACAAAAGGGUGGUCCUAUACAUGCCAUUUCAAAGUUCAACCAAAAGUAUACCAAAAGGAGCUUUGAUAGUGUGGGCGACUUCGACUUCAAAAUCCCGAGUCCGAUAGCUGAAGAACCAAAAUCUAUAAAAUAGAGAAUCAAAGAAACGGAGUAAGCAUUAAAUGCUUAGUAAGUUUUGAGCAAAGAAUUUAGACACAACCAAAGUAUAGCAUUCAUGUAGUUAAACAGAUAAUUUCAUAUGCACAAAUUUUCAAUAUCAUACUUACUUCACAUUACCAACCCUUAUAUUCAUACACAAAGAUCAACUUAGCCAAAGGCCGGUAGCUCAUUUAUCAACUGAGCGAAUACUUAUUUGUAAGGGCUCAACUAAUUCAAAGCACAUACGAAACAUACCUCAAUGUUUGGAUGUUACAAGCGUAUUAACUGAAAUUUUUACAGCAAGAUCGUUCAUUCCCGAAUAACGUACCUUCGGAAUUUAACCGGAUAUAGCUACUCAUUCAAAUGCCUUCGGGACAUAGCCCGGUUAUAGUAACUCGCACAAAUGCCUUCGGGACUUAACCCGGAUUUAGUAACUCGCACCAAUGCCUUCGAGCUUAGCCCGGAAUUAGUAACUCGCACAAAUGCCUUCGGAUCUUAGUCCGGAUAUGGUCACUUAGCACAAAGCCUUCGGGACUUAGCCCGGACAUCAUUCGAAUAACCAUGCACAUUUAACAAUAAAUCAUGACACAUUCGUAUUUCAUUUUCAUUAGCAAAACUCAAACACAAGACACUUAUCACUCUUGCAAUUUCGGCUCAAUAGCCACACACAAAGAGCAUGAUUUUGAUUUGCUUAAAACAUGAUCUAAUCAAAUCAUAAUUUAAGCUCUAUUACUCAAGAACUUACCUUGGAUGUUGUCGAACGAUUUCGUUCGCUAUUCGACCACUUUUUCCUUCCCUUUAUCGGAUUUAGAUCCCCUUUGCUCUUGAGCUUAAUUAAACAAAUAAAUUGAUUUAAUCAUUUGAGCAUCGAAAAGAGGAACACAAGGCACUUAGCCCAUAUUUAUACAUUAGACAUUAAAGUCACAUACAUGUGAAAUCAUGCAUCAACUCAACAUAUUAACCCACACUCCCUUUUAGCCGAUUGUCCUAACCAAGAUAAAGGCAUCAAUAUGCUUGCCUCUAACCGAAUGCAUGCAACACUAAUCUUCUCAUGUGGCCGAGUAUGCAUGUAUAUGUUGAGGCCAAUUAUAUGCUUAAUACUUCCCACAAGUAUGGUUACUUGUAUUGGUUAUAUAUCGUUUCGUUUCAAAUUCAAAACUCGGCUAAUACGCAUUUAUACACUAGUAAUCAAAUACUAACAUUUUGCAUUUUAUCUUACUACCAUUUCACAUCUACUUUCUACCAUGGCCGAAUGCAUCAAGACACCAUUUACCCUUGCAAGGCAUAAAUUUCAUCAUCAAAACUAACAAGCUUAUAAUCCCAUGACCGAAACCUCUGACAACACCAAUUAAAAUACUUCAUGGGUUUGAGGUAAAACCAAGAAAGAAACUCAUGAAUAUCGAGAUAUAAGCACUAACAUUGUUCAUCUAGAUUUAGCAUGACACAACAUCCAUCACCCUUAUAUUUACCAUAGCCGAAAACCUUACUCAUUCCAAAAAUUCAAAUCUCAACUUGGUCACAAAAAUAACUUGAUAUCUCACCAACACAACAUCAACACCAAGCAAGAAUGAUGCAUCCAUGGCCGGGUGUCAUUUCCAUCACAUAGCAAGAUUUAGACCAUGGGCUAGGUAGAACUCAAGCUAACAACUAAAACAUGCAUGCAUCUCAAGGAACAUCAUCAAACAUACCUUAGCCUAGCUACAUGCGUGGCCGAACCUCUUCAACCUUUCUUCUUCCUUCCUCCUUAAAAUUUUCGGCCAAGGAUGAACCAAAGGAUGAACACUUUUUUUUUUGUUUUUCUUUCCUUCAACUCACAGCAAUGGGGGGACAAUCACACACAUCCUUUCUUUUUUUUUUGUUUCUCAUCCUACUAACACUAAUAUUUUAUUGCCCAUGCUCUUUAUUUUAUUAAUCCUUACAUAAUGCAUUACCCCAACAUGUUUAUGACAUGUUUUUAGCCAUAACAUCUUGUCCACCCAUGCUCAUGGCUGGCCACUACAUAUUAGGGGGGGAAAUUGACAUGCAAGUCCUCCCUUUUGAUUACAUGCACUAUUAGGUCCUUGUAGAUUAGCCUAUCACAUUUCAAAAAUGUCACCCAUAAGUCCUUUUGACUAAAUUCACAUGCAAUUUACUAAAUCGAAGCCUAAAAGUUUCACACAUUCAUAAUCACAUAUUUUAGACAAUAAAUAUCACAUUCAAAUAAUUUGGUGACUCGGUUUAACGGUCCCGAAACCGCUUUCCGACUAGGGUCACUUUAGGGCUGUCACAAUUUAUCUAUUUCUUAUCUAUUUCUAUUUCAUUUAUUCCAUUUGCAUUUAGAAUUUUGAUUAAAAAAAAGUAAGGAAUUAUAAACUUGAAAAACACAGAUCAGGUUGCGCCAUACAUAUGAAAGAAUAUAGAAUAAUGAUGUAUUUGGCGAAUCAAAUACCAUGGUCUAAUAAGGAACCUUUCGGAUUCGUUGAUAAUUUUUUGAAAGAUUUCUUCGAAAAGGUUUCAUUAACUCCUCAUUUAUAUCGAGUAGACCUUGUUGUUGCGAGAAUUCUUAAUUCAUGAGUUGUAGGGAGGGACUUAUGUCACCACAAACAGAGACUAAAGCAAGUGUUGGAUUCAAAGCUGGUGGUAAAGAGUAUAAAUUGACUUAUUAUACUCCUGAAUAUGAAGUCAAAGAUACUAAUAUCUUGGCAGCCUUCCGAGUAACUCCUCAACCCGGAGUUCCGCCUGAAGAAGCAAGGGCCGCGGUAGCUGCUGAAUCUUCUACUGGUACAUGGACAACCGUGUGGACCGAUGGGCUUACCAGCCUUGAUCGUUACAAAGGGCGAUGCUACGACAUUGAGCCUGUUCCUGGAGAAGAAGAUCAAUAUAUAUGUUAUGUAGCUUACCCUUUAGACCUUUUUGAAGAAGGUUCUGUUACUAACAUGUUUACUUCCAUUGUGGGUAAUGUAUUUGGGUUCAAAGCCCUGCGCGCUCUACGUCUAGAGGAUCUGCGAGUCCCUACUGCUUAUAUUAAAACUUUCCAAGGCCCGCCUCAUGGCAUCCAGGUUGAAAGAGAUAAAUUGAACAAGUAUGGUCGCCCCCUAUUAGGAUGUACUAUUAAACCUAAAUUGGGGUUAUCUACUAAGAACUACGGUAGAGCAGUUUAUGAAUGUCUACGUGGCGGGCUUGAUUUUACCAAAGAUGAUGAGAAUGUGAACUCCCAACCAUUUAUGCACUGGAGAGACCGUUUCUUAUUUUGUGCCGAAGUAAUUUUUAAAUCACAGGCUGAAACAGGUGAAAUCAAAUGGCAUUACUUGAAUGCUACUGUAGGUACAUGUGAAGAAAUGAUCAAAAGGGCCAUGUGUGCUAGAGAAUUGGGAGUUCCUAUCGUAAUGCACGACUACUUAACAGGUGGGUUCACUGCAAAUACUAGCUUGGCUCAUUAUUGCCGAGAUAAUGGUCUACUUCUUCACAUCCAUCGCGCAAUGCACGCCGUUAUUGAUAGACAGAAGAAUCAUGGUAUGCACUUUCGUGUACUAGCUAAAGCUUUACGUAUGUCUGGUGGAGAUCAUAUUCACGCUGGUACAGUAGUAGGUAAACUUGAAGGAGAAAGGGACAUAACUUUGGGCUUUGUUGAUUUACUACGUGAUGAUUUUAUUGAAAAAGAUCGAAGCCGUGGUAUUUAUUUCACUCAAGAUUGGGUUUCUAUGCCAGGUGUUCUGCCCGUAGCUUCGGGGGGUAUUCACAUUUGGCAUAUGCCUGCUUUGACCGAGAUCUUUGGAGAUGAUUCCGUACUACAAUUCGGUGGAGGAACUUUAGGACACCCUUAGGGAAAUGCACCGGGUGCCGUAGCUAAUCGAGUAGCUUUAGAAGCAUGUGUACAAGCUCGUAAUGAGGGACGUGACCUUGCCCGCGAGGGUAAUGAAAUUAUCCGCGAGGCUAGCAAAUGGAGUCCUGAACUAGCUGUUGCUUGUGAAGUAUGGAAGGCGAUCAAAUUUGAAUUCGACGCAGUGGAUAAAUUAGAUAAAGUGGAAAAAUGAGAUAAACCAGCUUCAUAAAUCAAAUUUGAAUUCGAAGCAAUGGAUACUUUGUAAUCCAGUAAUUACUGUCGGUUUGUUGAAUUGCAAUUAAACUUGGCCCAAUCUUUUACUAAAAGGAUUGAGCCGAUUCUAUUGUCUAUAUUUUUGAUAGAUAUAUUUUUAUCUAGAUAUACAAGAUCUUAAAUACAAAAAUAAAAGACUAAACACAACUCAAAUUUUCUCCUGGGUCCAUAAUUAAUCCUAUGUAUGGAUCCUUAGGAUUGGUGUAUUCUUUUCUAUCCUAUAUACCACGGUUUCGGAUCAUGGAUCGAGCCAAGCAUCACAACUUCUUCUACCCAUCCUGUAUGUUGUCCUUUUGGCUCCGUGUUGGAAUAGAAACUUAUUGUAUUAGUAGAUGAGAUUUUACGAAAAAGGUUCUUGAUAGGAGAAAAUUUUCUUUUUCAAUUUUUUCAGUGCGGAUUUUACACAACAUGGGGAAAUCACUAUUUCUAAUUGAAAAUUGAUAUUUCUAAUUCAAAAGAAAAAAAAGCUCUAUCCUAUCAUAUAUAAUGAACUGCUACUCUAGGUUCUCACAAAAGAGAAUCGUUUCUUUCAAUAUUCACUCAUUGUUCGUUAAUAACCCUAGUGAUUGUAUCUAGUAUGCGUAUUCUGAUAGGAAAUAAAAUAUUCAAUUGAUUUUUCAUCGAAUGACUAUUCAUCUACUAUACUUUCAUGGAAAUAGAGGCAAGAAAGCUCUAUGGAAAAAUCAUGGUUCAAUUUGAUCUUGUCUAAGGGAGAAUUAGAAUACAGAUGUGGGCUAAGUAAAUCAAUGGAUAGCCGCCUUGGUCCUGCUGAAAAUACUACUGUAAAAGAAGACCCGACUAGAAAUGAUACAGAUAAAAACAUUCAUGAUUGUAGUCACAGCUCUAGUUAUUACAGUAAGGUUGAUCAUUUAGUUGACGUCAAAGACAUUCAAAAUUUCAUUUCUGAUGACACCUUUUUAAUUAGGGAUCGUAAUCAGGACCGUUAUUCCAUAUAUUUUGAUAGUGAAAAUCAAAUUUUUGAGCUUAACAAUGAUCAUUCUUUUUUGAGUGAACUAGAAAGUUUUUUUUAUAGUUAUCAUAAUUCUAGUUAUAUGAAUAAUGGAUCGAAAAAUGAUGAGCCCCACUAUCAUUUUAACUUGUAUGAUAAUGAUACUAACUGUGGUUGGAAUAAUCACAUUAAUAGUUGUAUUGACUCUUAUCUUCGUUCUCAAAUUUGUAUUGAUAGUUCCAUUUUAAGUGGUAGUGAUAAUUCCAAUGAUAAUUAUAUUUAUAAUUACAUUUGCGGCGAAGGUGGAAAUAGUAGUGAAGGCAAGAAUUUCGAUAUAAUAACUCGUGAAAAUGGUAAUGAUUUAACUCUAAAAGAAAGUUCUAAUGAUCUCGAUCUAUACAAGGAUUUGUGGGUUCAAUGCGAAUGCGAAAAUUGUUAUGGAGUAAAUUAUAAAAAAUCGCUUAAUUCAAAAAUGAAUAUUUGUGAACAAUGUGGAUAUCAUUUGAAAAUGAGGAGUUCAGAUAGAAUCGAACUUUCGAUUGAUCCAGGCACUUGGGGUCCUAUGGAUGAAGACAUGAUCUCUCUGGAUCCCAUUGAAUUUCAGUCUGAAGAAGAGCUUUAUAAAGAUCGUAUUGAUUUUUAUCAAAGAAAGACAGGAUUAACUGAGGCUAUUCAAACAGGCACGGGUCAACUAAACAGUAUUCCUAUAGCAAUCGGGGUUAUGGAUUUUCAGUUUAUGGGGGGAGUAUGGGAUCCGUAGUAGGCGAGAAAAUCACCCGUUUGAUCGAAUAUGCUACCAAUAAUUUUUACCUCUUAUUCUAGUGUGUGCUUCCAGAGGAGCACGCAUGCAAGAAGGAAGUUUGAGCUUGAUGCAAAUGGCUAAAAUAUCUUCCGCUUUAUAUGAUUAUCAAUCAAAUAAAAAUUUAUUUUAUGUAUCAAUUCUUACAUCUCCUACUACGGUGGAGUGACUGCGAGUUUUGGUAUGUUGGGGGAUAUCAUUAUUGCUGAACCCAAUGCCUAUAUUGCAUUUGCAGGUAAAAGAGUAAUUGAGCAAACAUUGAAUAAAACAAUACCGGAAGGUUCACAGGUGGUUGAAUAUUUAUUCCAUAAGGGUUUAUUCGAUCCAAUCGUACCACGUAAUCCUUUAAAAGGUGUUCUGAGUGAGUUAGUUCAGCUCCACGGUUUUUUCCCUUUGAAUCAAAAUUCAAUCAAGUAGAGUCUUAAGUGAAAUUUUUUUAUUUGUAGUGAAAAGGUAGUUAGUUAGUUUAUCAGAAUCAAAGUCAAAGCCCACGUAAUGGGCUUUGACUUUGUGAAAAAAAAGGAAUUGUCGAAAAACAAAUUAUGUGGAUAAUUAUUAUUAUCAUUAUCCGAUAUUAUUAAUGAGUAAACCUCUAGCAACAAGAUAAAAAGCGAAUUUUUCCUUCUGUGAAAUGAAAUUCGAAUUUGGAGAGACAAAUAAAACGAAUUUUAUCCUCCUCUAUUGCGUAUGUAUAUAGAAUUUAAAUAGAGAAAAAAUAGAAUAGAAAUAUAGAGUUUUGCAUCUUUCUAUAUCUCUCGAAAAUUCUAUUUUUACUAAUAAUCCCUGUUCUUGGAUCGGAUUCUAACGAAUCGAAUCUUUCGAAAAUUUGUAAUAAACUCUUUCUUUAUUAAAUUCAAAAAUGCAAAUUAGAAGACAAGAACAAUAGAAUAAUAAGAAAAGUAAGAAUAAAGUAAGAUAAUAAAGAAAGUGGAUUAUCUUAUCAUAUACAUCUAUUUUAUUUGAUUUAAAAAGAGUAAGAUAAUAAAGAAAGUGGAUUAUCUUAUCAUAUACAUCUAUUUUAUUUGAUUUAAAAAGAUGGGCAAGUCCUUUUAUUUAAUUCUACAUUCCUUGCACUUAUUAGAUAUCUAUUAGAUAUAUAGAUUCACUUAGAUAUACUUAGUAUUUAGAUAUAAUUAGUAUAAUAUACGAAUUAUAAUAGAAUCGUUAAAAGAUAUAUUUCUAACUAAACAAUAUAACAAUAACAGGUACAAAUAUUAAAUUGAGGUACCCAUUUUAUGACAACUUUCAGCAGUUUUCCCUCUAUUUUUGUGCCUUUAGUAGGCCUAGUAUUUCCGGCAAUUGCAAUGGCUUCUUUAUCUUUGUAUGUUCAAAAAACUAAGAUUUUUUAGAUUCGAUGGGGCCAAGACCAAAUCUUAUCUAUUUUUUUUCAAGACUUAGAUGUCAUGGAUACCUAUUUAGUAGAAUAUUGUAUAACAUCUGGCUUACCCGAACCGAACAUAAAUGAAAAAGCCCCUCUUAUGCAUACGUAAACAUGGUAUAGGGUUAAAUGAAUUAUAGCAAGUGGAUCGGUACAGAACGGAUGUAUGAAAUUAAAGUCUAUAUAUCUAGUAGAUCCGUAUAGGCGAUCAUAUAAAGGGGAUGAUUUUAGAUCGAAGCAAUUUGAUGAAUUCCUUUUAAAAGUUCAUAUCAAAAGAGUACUAGUUGAUGAGAGUUGCUUCGGAAACAAAAAAAGUAAAGUCGAAUUUUUUUGGUUAUUCUCUCAAUUCGAAUAAAAUGCAACUGGAUCUAGUAUGUAUGAGUUGGCGAUCAGAAUCUAUAUGGAUAGAAUUUAUAGUGGGAUCUCGAAAAACAAGCAAUUUUUGCUGGGCCUUUAUCCUUUUUUUUGGUUCAUUAGGGUUUUUAUUAGUUGGAACUUCUAGUUAUCUUGGUAGGAAUUUGAUAUCUUUAUUUCUGUCUCAGCAAAUAGUUUUUCUUCCACAAGGAAUCGUGAUGUCUUUCUAUGGGAUCACAGGCCUCUUUAUUAGUUCCUAUUUGUGGUGCACAAUUUUUUGGAAUGUAGGCAGUGGUUAUGAUUGAUUCGAUAGAAAGGAGGGAAUAGUCUGUAUUUUUCGUUGGGGUUUUCCUGGAAAAAAUCGUCGCAUCUUUCUACGAUUCCUUAUGAAAGAUAUUCAGUCCAUCAGAAUAGAAGUUAAAGAGGGUAUUUAUGCUCGUCGUGUCCUUUAUAUGGAAAUCAAAGGCCAGGGGGCCGUUCCCUUGACUCGUACUGAUGAGAAUUUGACUCCGCGCGAAAUUGAACAAAAAGCUGCUGAAUUGGCCUAUUUUUUGCGUGUACCGAUUGAAGUCUUUUGAAAUGAAUUGCAGAAUAAAAGCUUUCUCGCCGGGAGGAAAAAGCUCAAUCCAAGAAUCCUCUUUUUUCUAUAGCAGAACUAAACUGAAGUUUCUUCAAAAUGCCCAUUCAAACCAAAGCGAACGUAUACGGAAGAGUCAUAACAUAAAAAAACAGUUUUUUUUGUCCACAAAAAUAGUUUUUUAUGCGUCUGUAAAUGUAAAACCGCUCAACUUAAUUCAGUAACAAAAUAAGCAAGAAAUUGAAAUACUGGAUUCAUCUCAUAUAUCAAAUCGAAAUAAAGACUUUCGCUUUUUAUUUGCAAUAUUUGGAGUUGAUACGUUAGAUACAGAUAGAUCAUAUCUUGUAAAUUUUCUCUACUUUUCUUUUCUCAAUCGGCCCCUCCCCUUUUAUCCUUUCUUUUGUGCUCCUUAAGAACUAAAGAACUAAACAAGUGGAUUUCUUUCUUAUAACAUAAUGAUAAACGUAAUGAUAACUUUUCUGUCUUUUUUUGUCACUCAUUUUUUAUCAGCAUAAUAUUUUUCCUAAUUUUUUUUUCAAUUAUUGCUGGACUCUAGACUAUAUAUAGUUUAGAUAACCCGCGAAAAUUUUCGACAUAUUUGAUUGCGAUCUUGAUAUAGACAGGGCGCUCCUUCGUCUCAAAAUCUGAAUAGAACAAUCUUUAUUAUCUGAAGCGGUUCUUUCAGGCAGUUAUCAAAAGAGGGCAAUUGCUUCAAAUUUGAUCAAUUGAGAUUGCGCUGAUACCCCAUCACCGGAGGAGGGUUACAAGGUAUUAUCAAUCAAUUCACAACAUAUAGCAUACAUUUCUUAAAUAUAAAGCAUUCAUUCUCAUAAAUCAUUCAAUACAAUCACAUUGUCCCUUAUAAGGGCCUACAAGACCUUAAACAUGCUUUAGAAGUGGUUCGGGACUAAACCGAUAAUACAUGAAAAUUUUAGAAACUUAAAAAAAUUUCAACCAUACAGGGGUCACACGCCCAUGUGAACAAGCCGUAUGCCUCACACGGCUCCAGACUUGCCCGUGUCUCAGGCCAUGUGAAAACAGGGCAUACAUACUGACUUAGGUCACAUAGCCAACCACACGCCUGUGUGUCUAGCUCGUGUGCCCUUCGAAGUGGCCACACACGCCAGUCUGCCAGGCCGUGCCAAAACUAUAGACUAUACUGACUUAUGCAACACGGCCAAGUCAUACGCUGAUGUGCUAGGUCGUGUGCUAGUUAGGGAGUAUACUGACUUGUAUCACAUGGCCAAUCACAUGCCCGUGUGUGAGACCAUGUGGAACAUACUGACUUCAUUUCAAUUUCAUCACUAGAGGACACACGGCCGUGUAACAUGACCGUGUGUCACACACGGCUGAGACACACACCCAUGUCUCUGCCUAUGUGGACAAAAAUAGGCCAUUUGCAAGGCCAAUUUUCCACCCUUAUUCAUGCUCUCCUAAACAACAAAAAUGGUACCAUUUCAUCAUACAAUUAGGUAGCCAAAAUCAUCAACCAAAUGCACAACUCAUGCCAUUGUAAUUUCAUCUCUUCCAGAUCUCAAUCACUAUAAUUUAUUUAGCCAAAAACAUGCCAAAACAAUAUCAAUCUAUAUAAUUCAUUUAUCAUAAUUCAAACUCACAUAACUUCCUUAUAAACAACCACACAACAUCUAAAAUCAUACCUCAUCAAGGCAUUUCUCAAGCAUUUUACACUCUAUAAAUUAAUUAACCAUUUGAGCAACUAUAAAACCAUAACUACAUUCAUACCAAACAUACCAAAAUAAACCAUCACUCAUAGCUAUAUAUACAAACCAAAACAUAUACAAUUUACAAGCCAAAUCUUAUGGCUAUAAUCACAACCAAAAUACAUCUAGCCUAUACAUGCCAUAUGCCAAAUAUGUAUAAUCCAUAAGUACCAUCUGAGGUUUUUGAUAGUGUGAUGAUGUUCCCGACGACUCCAGGAUCCGAGCUAGCCUUGAUUCACUAUAAAACAUAGAAAAUUAACACAAAGUAAGCUUAAUAGCUUAGUAAGCUCAAUGAUAUAAACUUAACUAAUCACAAAUACAACUUUCAUCAAUCUAAACAUGUUACCAUGUACUUUAUUAUUACUAAUAAACCUUUCAACUUCUUAUUCAUAAGUUUAUAAACAAACUUUGUAGAUUCUUUAUUUUUAAGCUAAUAAUAUACAUGUACAUACCUGUACCAAUCCAUAACAAGUUCAUACAUACACAGAAUGUCGUUGAGUACUCACUAUCUCGCACAUUAAGUGGCAUACUCAAUAUCCCGCACACUAUGUGCCAUACAUAACCGAAGCUAUCUCAAAUCACACACUAAGUGCCAUAUAUAGCCGAAGCUAUGUCGAAUCACACACUAAGUGCCAUAUAUAGCCGAAGCUAUAUCAUAUCGCACACUAAGUGCCAUAAAUAACCGAUUUUUCGUCGAACAUAUCUGUAGUCCCGUAUAUACAAUUUAUGCAAUAGAAAAUCACUAUAAGCUUAAUUAUUGCAAUGCUUAAUUUAUACGAACUUACCUCAGACCUCUACUUUAAUGAUCCAUAGCUAUUUAAUACCUUUAAAUAAUGGAACUCAAGUUUUAUGCUUUAUGCAAUUUAGUCCUUUUUACCGAAUUAACCAUUCAAACAGUAAAAUUUCUUUAUGAAACUUUCACACAUACACGCUAUCAUACUGCAAACACUUAAAAUAAUAUUAAAAUAGUUUUACGACCUCAAAUUUGUGGUCUCAAAACUACUAUUCUGAUUUGACUAAAAACAGGCUGUUACAGAAUCAACACCGAGGCCUUGGUCAAUAACAAUUUAACUGAUCGAAGCUUUGUUGACACUUUUUAGACCAUUCAAACUUCACAUCUUUCUGGAGUAACUUCGUCAAUGAUGUAGCAAUCAUCGAAAACCCUUUUACAAAUAUCCAAUAAUAUCCAACUAGACUCAAUAGACUUUUGUUCUCUAAAACAUUUCUCAGAGAUUUCCUGUCUAUUAUAGCUGAUACUUUACUCGGAUAAACUUUAAUACUGUCUGCCAAUACGUGUCCCAAAAAUCCAACUUCUCGAAGCUAGAACUCACACUCGCUAAACUUAGCAAAUAACUAUUUCUCGUGUAAAGUCUACAAAAUUACUCUCAAAUGCUAUGCAUGCUCAAUUUCAUCUCGGGAAUAGGUAAGAAUGCCAUUAAUGAAUACAACUAAAAUUGGUUUAAAUACGAUCGAAAUAUUCUGUUCAUCAAAUCUAUAAACAUAGCAGAUGCAUUGGUUAAACGAAACGGCAAAACUAAAAAUUCAUAAUGUUCGUACCUGGUUCCAAAAGCAGUCUUCGAUACAUUUGAAUCUUUAACCCGCAACUAAUAAUAUCUAAAACGGAGGUCAAUCUUUGAAAAUAUUGUCACACCUUUCAGUUGAUCAAACAAAUCAUCAAUAGGCGACAAAGGAUAACUUUUUCUUGAUCGUGACUUUGUUAAGCUGCCUAUAGUUGACACAUGAUCCCAUUUAACCGUAUUUUUUCUUAACAAACAAUACAAGAGCUCCCCAGGGUGAAAUACUAGGCCGAACAAAGCCUCUUUCUGCAAUUCUUACAACUGUGCUUUCACAUCUUUCAAUUAUGUAGGUGUCAUUCUAUAUGAAGCUAUUGAUAUCGGAGAAGUUCCCAGUAUUAACUCAAUAGUAAAUUCAACCUCACUGACUGGAGGUAACCCUAGUAACUCUUCUGGGAAUACAUACAAGAGCUCAUAAACAUUUGGAACUGACUCUAAUUUCAAUUCUGAAGCCCUGAAAUCAAAUAUGUAAGCUAGAUAUGCUUCACAACCUUUUCUAACAUAUUUCUGAGUUGACAUAGAUGAAAUCAUAUUAGUUGUACCAUCAAAUCUAUCAGAUUCAAUCCGAACUAUUUCACCAUUCUGACAUUUCAACAAAAUUUGCUUCUUUAUACAAUUUAAAACAACAUCAUGCAGAGUCAACCAAUUCAUAUUAAGAAUUACAUCGAACUCAUCAAAUGGUAAUAGCAUCAAAAUUAGUCGCAAGGUUGCAAUCCCAAAUCAUCAAAGGAUAGUUUCUACAAACUUUAUCAACAAAUACAUACUAACCUAAAGGAUUCUUUACUUUGAUCACAAAUUUAGUUGACUCGUAAGAUACUUUCUUAUCUAACACUAAGGUUGUGCAUAUAUAUGAGUGCGUUUACCACAGGUCAAUCAAAGCAUUAACAUUAGUAUCAAAGAUAAAAAAUGUACUGGUAAUCACAUCAAGUGACGAAGCUUUCUCUCGAGCUCUUAUUGCAUAUGCCCUAGCUAGUACUCGAGCCUCAUAUCCAACUGUAGAUUCUUUCGUUCCACUUCGACUAUUACUCGCAUUACCACUACUUUUGGAUUGUCUCUCUCUUGCAAAGGUGUUACUUGAACGAGUGUUCUGACCUUUCUAUCUAUCAGAUCUUUUACGGCAGUCUCUAAGAAAAUGGUCAUAGGAACCAUAUUUGAAGCACGAUCCAUCUCUCAAUCUGUACUCCCUGAAAUGUCAUCUAUUGCACUGUUGACAUUCAGGUUUAUUAUUUCUAACACUACCCACACUCGCUACAGAAGUAGCCUGAGGUCUCGAACUUGAAUGUUGCUUCCCUUUAUCUCUUCCCGAGAAUCCUACUAAAGUUGAUGUACUGUAACACCCCAUACCCGAGACCGUUGCCGGAGUCGGACACGAGGGGUUAACAGACUUAAUUCCCUUAUUUUUACAGUCCAUUUUAAAAAUUUCCAGACUAACUGGCUAACUGCGUCACUGUCACCUUAAAAAUCAUAUCUUGAGUUCCAAAACUCGAAAAUCAGUUUUGUAAAUUUUCUCUGAAACUAGACUCAUAUAUCCAUCUACAAACUUUUUUCUAGAAUUUUUGGUCGGGCCAAUUAGUACAGUUUAUUAGUUAAAGUCUCCCAUGUUUUAGGGUUCGACUGCUCUGACCUUCAUGCAUUACAACUUAUAUAUCUCCCUUUACAGGGCUUCAAUACUUAUGUCGUUUGUUUCUAAAGAAACUAGACUCGAAAAGGAAUCUAUAAAUAUAUGGCAUGACUUAUAACUAUCUCUGGUUAAUUUAUAAUGAAUUUCCUAAGUCCGAACAGGGAAUCCAGAAACCGCUCUAUCCCUGUUUCACGAAAACUUUAAAAUCUCAUAAAAUACUGUUCAUAUGAUCAUUUCAUUACUUCCCUAUGAAAAUAGAUUCAUCAAGGUUCAAUUUCAUAAUUUAUUCACUAUUUUAUUCCAUUCCUACUAUUUUUAGUGAUUUUUCAAAUUCACACCGCUGCUGCAGUCAGCAUCUACCUUUAAGCUAGACUUUACCUAUUACAUAGUUUCCAUGAUUCACCCAACCCUUUAGCAUAUAUAGCACAAAGUAUGAUCGUGAUUAACCAUUCCAAUGGCCAAUCAUUGCCAAGCAUAUCCACACCUCUCAAUAACCAUAUACAUACAAAAUGAUUAUAACAUUAUGUAACACCCCGAACCCGAGAUCGACACCGGAGUCGGACACGAGAUGUUAACAAACUUUGAAAAAAAAAAUUUUUUCAGAGACUGCCCAGUCUGAGUACUAGUCGCUUCAAAAAUCAUAACUUGAGUUUCACAACUCAAAAAUCAGUUUUGUGAUUUUUCCCUGAAAUUAGACUCAUGUCCCCACCUAUAGAUUUUUUUCUAGAAUUUUUGGUCGGGCCAAUUAGUACAGUUUAUUAGUCAAAGUCUCCCAUGUUACAGGGGUCGACUACACUGACCUUUUCCCAUUACGACUUGGAUAUCUCUCUGCACAGAGCUUCAAUACUGAUGCCGUUUGUUUCUAUGGAAACUAGACUCAGAGAGGAAUCCAUACAUAUAUGGUAUGACCCCUAAUUAUCUCUGGUCAAUUUAUAGUGAAUUUUCAAAGGCGGAACAGUGAAUCCAGAAACUGUUCUGGCCCUGUUCCACAAGAACCCGAAUAUCUCUUUCUGUACUGUUCCUAUAAUUGUUUCGUUACUUCCAUAUGAAAGUAGAUUCAUCAAGGUUCGAUUACAUAAUUUAUUCACUAUUUAAUUCCACUCCUACGAAUUCUUGUGAUUUUUCCAAUCCACACCACUGCUGCUAUCAGCUUCUGUUUUCAAAGUGAACCUUACCUAAUUUGGGGUUUCAUGGACCAACUAGGGCCUUGUCAUACAUAAGCCCACAUAUGAUCAUACUUAGCCAUUCUAGUGGCUGAUCAUUUGCUCAACACUUCCAUUCCAACAUAGUUACAUCAUGAAACCAUCUAUACAUUCACAAAUACGAAUGGUCUAAUGCCAUACUCCACUUCUACAAGCCAUUUUCGCAUGGUUGUACACUUAUUAUACAUUUCAUAAAGUACUCGAAAGACAACAAUGGGUAGUCCUAUACAUGCCAUAACAAAAUUCAACCAAAAUAGUACCCAAAAGAGCCUUUGAUAGUGUGGGCGACUUCGACUUCAAGAUCCCGAGUCCGAUAGCUGGAGAACCAAAAAUCUAUAAAACAGAGGAGCAAUGUAACGAGUAAGCAAUUUAUGCUUAGUAAGUUUGAGAAAGGAAUUCCAGCAUGCACAAAGAAUAGCACACAUUUAGCUAAACGGAAUAUUUCAUAAUACGCAAUUUACCGAUAUCAAACUUGCUUCACAACAUUAACAACCCUUAUGUACAUACACAAUAAACUAACUUGGCCGAAGGCCGGUAGCUCGUUUAUCAACUGAGCGAACAUUUAUUUGUAAGGGCUCGAUUAAAUUCAACACAUACGUAACAUAUCCCCAUAUUGGGAUGUUUUUCGAGUAUUCGCUGGAAUUUUACAGCAAGCUCAUUCAUUACCAAAUCACGUACCUUCGGGAUUUAACCGGAUAUAGCUCCUCGUUCAAAUGCCUUCGGGACAUAGCCCGGUUUUAGUAACUCACACAAUGCCUUCGGGACAUAACCCGGAUUUAACAACUCGCACGACUGCCUUCGGGACUUAACCCGGAUUUAAUAACUCGCACGAAUGCCUUCGGGACUUAACCCGGAUUUAAUAACUCGCACGAAUGCCUUCGGGACUUAACCCGGAUUUAGUAUCUCGCACAAAGGCCUUCGGAUCUUAAUCCGGAUAUAUUCACUUAGCACAAAGCCUUCGGGACUUAGCCCGGACAGCAUUCAAUUAAUCAUGCACAUCUAACAAUAAUUCAUAGCACAUUCAUAUUUCAUUUUCGUUUACGAAACUCAAACACAAGGCACAUAUUGCCCUUGCACAUUCGGCUCAAUAGCCACACAUAGAGCAUGAUUUAAUCACAUCGAAAUUUAAGCUCUCUUACUCAAGAACUUACCUCGGGUGUUGUCGAACGAUUCCGCUAGCUAUUCAACCACUUUUUCCUUCCCUUUAUCGGUUUUAUUUCCCCUUUGCUCUUGAGCUUAAUCAAACAAAUAAAUUGACCUCAUCAUUUUAGGCAUCAAAAGAUGAACACAAGGCACUUAGCCCAUAUUUAUACAUUAGACAUUAAAGUCUCAUACAUGCAAAAAUCAUGCAUCAACACAACAUAUUAGCUAAUUUCUUGCCCUUGGCCGAAUAUGCAUGUCCAUUUUUGGGGUCGAUUUCAACACUUAAUACACACAUGUACACACUAGUAAAGCAUCCUCCCCCUUUUUAUCAAUUUAACACAUGCAUUGCUCAUUAACAUGCAAAGUUACAUUCGGCCUUAGCACACAUCUUGCUAGCCGAUUCUUCUCCAUUUAGCAACCAAUGCACAUAUGUGCUCACACAACAAAAAAAAUGCUAAAAAGGAGGUUCAAGAAUCAUCAAGCCAUCAUCACAUGCAUCAUUAACAAGCUUCAUAUUUUGCAUGCAAUGGCAUUAACACAACCUCCACCUAGGCCGAAUCUUAACUCAUCCUCAUGCCUCAUCACCACAACAUCAAACAUCAACCAAGAAUGAUUCAUCCAUGGUCAAGUGCCAUUUCCAUCACAUAGCAAGAUUUAGACCAUGGGUUAGGUAGAACUCAAGCUAACAACUAAAACAUGCAUGCCUCUCAUGGAACAUCAUCAAACAUACCUUAGCCUAGCUACAUGCAUGGCCGAAUCUCUUCACCUUUCUUCUUCUUUCCUCCUUAAAAUUUUUGGCCAAGGAUGAACCAAAGGAUGAGAAAAUUUUUCUUUGUUUUUCUUUCUAGUUUUUGGCAAGCAUGAAGAUGAGAAAAGGAUGAACAAAAUUCCCCCUUUCUCUUGUUUAGCUCACGGCAAUGGGGGGACAAACACCACACACACACAUUUUUUUUUUCUUUUGUUUUCCAUUUCUUUAUUACCCAUACUCCUUAUUUUAUUCAUCCACUAACAAAACAUGUUUCAUGACAUGUUUUGCCCAUCCUUCCUUGUCAUGGCCGGCCACUACUCAUUAGGGGGGGGAAUUUGACAUGCAAGUCCCCCCCUUUGUCCACAUGCACUAGUAGGUCCUCACACAUUGACCUAUCACAUUUUAGAAUUUUCUCACAUAAGUCCUAUUCACUAAAUUCACAUGAAAUCAACCCAAUUGAAGCUUGAAAUUUUCACACAUUCAUAAUUACAUAUUCUACACAAUAAGUAUCACAUUCAAACAUUUCGGUGACUCGGUUUAGCGGUCCCGAAACCACUUCCCGACUAGGGUCAACUUUGGGCUGUCACAACUCUCCCCCACUUAAGAAAUUUUCGUCCCCGAAAAUCUUACCGGUAAAUAGGUUUGGGUAUCGUUCUUUCAUCGAGCUCUCGGUCUCCCAAGUAGCUUCCUCGAUCCCGUGUUUGAGCCAUAACACCUUUACUAGCGGAACUCUUUUGUUUCGUAAUUCCUUCACUUCACGAGCUAGAAUACGCAUCGGUUCUUCUUCAUAGCUCAUGUCAACUUGAAUUUCAAACUCUGAUGGGCUAAUUAUGUGCGAUGGAUCAGAUCGAUAGCGUCGAAGCAUCGAAACAUGAAAGACGUCAUGAAUCUUUUCAAGCUCCGGGGGCAAAAUCAAUCUAUACGCAACCGGACCAACUCGUUCGGAGAUUUCGUACGGCCCAAUGAAUCUUGGGCUCAACUUGCCCUUACGGCCGAACCUGAGUAUCUUUUUCCAAGGUGAAACCUUAAGGAACACUUUGUCUCCCACCUGAUACUCGAUGUCUUUUCGUUUCAAAUCUGCGUACGAUUUCUGACGAUCCGUGGAUACCUUCAGACUUUCACGGAUUACCUUUACUUUCUGUUCGGCAUCUCUAAUCAAAUCAACUCCGAAAAUUUUGCUUUCACCGAGCUCGGUCCAAAACAAUGGUGUACGGCAUUUACGACCGUACAAAGCCUCAUAAGGUGCCAUCUUAAUACUUGAUUGAAAACUAUUGUUGUAAGCGAAUUCAAUCAAAGGUAAAUACCGUUCCCAUGAACUACUGAACUCGAGGAUGCAACAUCUCAACAUAUCCUCAAGUAUCUGAAUUAUCCGCUCGGAUUGACCAUCGGUUUGGGGAUGAAAAGCGGUGCUAAAAUGCAGCUUGGUACCCAAAGCUUCUUGCAAUUUCUUCCAAAAUCGCGAGGUGAAUCUCGGAUCUCUAUCCGACACGAUAGAAAUAGGUACUCCAUGUAAUCUCACAAUCUGAGUAACAUACAAUUCGGCUAGUUUAUCCAAUGAAAAAUCCGUACGCACGGGGAUAAAGUGAGCCGACUUAGUCAGCCUAUCAACAACAACCCAAAUCGCAUCCUUCUUACUUGCGGACAAUGGCAGUCCGGACACAAAGUCCAUUGUGACUCGGUCCCAUUUCCACUCGGGUAUCAUGAUCGGCUGAAGUAAUCCUGAAGGCACUUGAUGUUCCGCUUUCACUUGUUGACAUAUUAAACAUCUCGAAACAAAGUCGGAGAUGUCUCGCUUCAUACCAUGCCACCAAAACCGACGUUUCAAGUCGUUGUACAUUUUCGUGCUCCCCGGGUGAAUUGACAUUCGGCCACAAUGGGCUUCGUUCAGAAUCAUCGGAAUGAGUUCUGAAUUCCUUGGAACGCACAAACGACUUCUAAACCUCAAACAACCAUCAUCAUCAAUCUGAAACUCCGAUUCCUUGUUCGGAACACACUCAGCUCGUUUUGCAACCAAUUCAUCAUCGACUUUCUGAGCUUCACGAAUUUGAUGAGUCAAUAAUGGUUUGGCUUUUAAUUCAGCUACUAACACAUUGUCAGGUAGAACAGACAAGUGUACAUUCAUCGCUCGCAAAUCAAACAGUGAUUUCCCGCUUAAGGCGUCCGCAACCACAUUAGCCUUUCCCGGAUGGUAAUCAAUGACAAGCUCGUAAUCUUUCAACAACUCAAGCCAACGUCUUUGUCGCAGAUUCAAGUCUCGUUGAGUCAUCAAAUAUUUGAGACUUUUGUGAUCCGAAAACACAUGGCACUUCUCACCAAACAAAUAAUGUCGCCAUAUUUUCAAUGCAAACACAAUGGCGGCUAGUUCGAGAUCAUGGGUCGGAUAAUUUCUUUCGUGUGGCUUCAAUUGUCUCGACGCAUAGGCCACAACUCGACCUUCUUGCAUCAAUAUGCAACCCAACCCGAGUAGGGAUGCGUCACUAUAAACAACAAACUCUUUACCCGAUUCGGGUUGCACCAAAAUUGGAGCUUCAGUCAGAUGAGUUUUCAGUUGAUCGAAGCUUUUCUGACAUUUCUCCGUCCAUUCGAACUUAACAUCCUUCUGAAGUAGCUUCGUCAUUGGUGUGGCUAUCAUCGAGAAACCUUUCACAAAUCGUCGGUAAUAACCGGCGAGCCCUAGAAAGCUCCGGACCUCGGUAACAUUUCUCGGAGGCUUCCAGUUAAGUAUGGCUGAAAUUUUGCUUGGGUCAACUCGAAUACCCGAUGCGGAUACCACAUGACCCAAGAAGCUAACCUCUCUUAACCAGAACUCACACUUACUGAACUUAGCAUAUAACUGCUUAUCCCGCAAAAUUUGCAACACUUGCCUCAGAUGCUCAGCAUGUUCGGUCUCAUCUUUUGAAUAGACCAAGAUGUCAUCAAUAAACACAACUACAAACCGAUCCAAAUACGGCCUGAAGAUCCGAUUCAUCAGAUCCAUAAACACCGCAGGGGCAUUAGUGAGCCCAAACGGCAUCACUAAGAACUCGUAGUGACCGUACCUCGUUCUGAAAGCAGUUUUGGGUACGUCCGAAUCUCGAAUCCGCAACUGAUAAUAACCCGAUCUCAAAUCUAUCUUUGAAAACACCGAUGCUCCCUUUAAUUGAUCGAACAGAUCAUCAAUACGCGGUAACAGAUACUUAUUCUUUAUCGUCACUUUAUUCAAUUGACGAUAGUCAAUGCACAACCUCAUGGUUCCGUCCUUCUUUUUCACGAACAAUACUGGUGCACCCCAAGGUGAGAAACUCGGUCGAGCGAAGCCUCUAUCCGUCAAUUCUUGCAACUGAGCUUUCAACUCUUUUAACUCGGUUAGUGCCAUACGAUACGGAGCGAUCGAGAUUGGCGUAGUUCCAGGUAUAAGCUCAAUUCCAAACUCUACUUCCCGAACAGGUGGCAAACCCGGUAACUCUUCAGGAAAAACAUCCGGGUAUUCACAAACCACCGGCACCGACUCGGGUUUCUUUUCUAACUCCUUGUUAUCAAGUACAUGCGCGAGGUAUACUUCGCACCCUUUCCUUACAUAUUUCUAGGCCAACAUUGCUGAUAUUACAGCUGGCAACCCCCUUAAGUCCGCAGACUCAACUCGGAUUAUUUCGUCAUUCGCGCACCUCAAAUCGAUAGUCUUGCUUUUGCAAUUCACAACCGCAUCAUGCGCGGUCAACCAAUCCAAACCAAGGAUAACAUCAAAUUCAUCAAACGGCAAAAGCAUCAAGUCCGCCGGAAAACAGGAACCUCGAAUUUCCAGGGGACAUUUCUUACACACUUUGUCGACAAGCACGUAACGACCCAAGGGAUUUGACACCCGAAUUACGAACUCAGUAGACUCAAUAGGUAAAGUCUUACUGGAUGCUAAGGUUUCACAUAUGUAAGAAUGAGUAGAACCGGGGUCAAUCAAAGCAAUUACAUUAGUAUCAAAGAGAGUGAAUGUACCGGUAAUAACAUCAGGCGAAGAAGCAUCCUCGCGGGCACGUAUAGCAUAAGCUCUAGCAGGCGCACGGGCUUCGGAUCUGGUUAUACCAUCUCUAGAUCCUCUCUGACCACCACCAUCAUUGCCCGCAUUUCUAGAUGGUCUACCCCGAGCAGUGGUAACACCCGGUCUCCCACUCUGAUUUGCAUUCUGUCCCGACAACCUCGGGCAAUCUUUAAUGAAGUGGUCAACUGAUCCGCAUUUGUAACAGGAGCGGUCAGGAAAUCUACAACUCCCCGAAUGCCAUUUACCGCAAUAUCGGCAUUUCGUUCUGUCUCGACGUUCAUCCCCAACACUGGCGACCGAAGUGCCUCGUGUACCCACAGGGGGUCGAUCACGAUCUCGUCUAAAAAGGCCCGAAGUGCCUCUAAACUGGCCCGCAUCAUCUCGAAAUCUCUUCGAUGUCUGUUGAAGAGACCUUCCCGAGGAUCUUUUACGAAACUCUCCAGUUCCCUCAUCAACUCUUUGCUUUUCUUUUCUAAGCUCUUCGGCUUUACAAGCUCGUUCAACAAGUACCACGAACUCUCGUAUUUCAAGAAUGCCAACGAACAUUUUUAUAUCUUCAUUCAGCCCAUCCUCGAAGCGUUUACACAUAAUAGCUUCGGACGAAACACAUUCCCGAGCGUAUUUGCUAAGUCUAACAAAUUUUCGCUCGUAAUCAGUAACCGACAUGGAGCCUUGCUUAAGCUCAAGAAAUUCCUUCCGUUUUUGAUCAACAAAUCUCUGACUGAUAUACUUUUUCCGAAACUCAGUUUGGAAAAACUCCCAAGUUACUUGCUCUCGGGGCACAACAGAAGUCAGAGUACUCCACCAAUAGUAGGCAGAAUCACGUAGCAAGGAGAUAGUACACUUUAGGCAUUCAUCGGGUGUACAAGAUAGCUCAUCGAGUACCCGGAUAGUGUUGUCCAACCAAAAUUCAGCUUGCUCGGCAUCGUCGCUAUCCGUAGCUUUAAAUUCAGUAGCCCCAUGUUUUCGGAUUCUAUCAACUGGGGGCUUAUUUGACCUUAUUUGGUCAAUUACCGGAGGUAUUGUAGGUGCGGGGGUAGUAUUUGUCGGGAAUGGAGGUUGUGGAAUAGCCAUAUUAGUUCGAAUGUAUUGGUUGAACCAAUCAUUCAUCACGCUAUAGAAUGCUUGUCUAGCUUCAUCAUUCGGAUUACUAGCAUUAUGUUGAGAGUCUGCCGGCACUGUCCCUUGUGCGGGAGCAGGCGCUACACUCUCAAGAUCAUCAGCUACCUCUCGGUCACGAUCGGGAUCCAUUACUAUAAAUAAACACAUUUACAAUUGUCAGAAAUCACCACACUAUCAAGUAAUCACAUAAAAUGGCAUGUAUAGCUAGACCCAACACAUUACGGUAGUCCUAGAAUCGACUAAACCGUAGCUCUGAUACCAAUAAAAUGUAACACCCCGAACCCGAGACCGACACCGGAGUCGGACACGAGAUGUUAACAAACUUUGAAAAAAAAAAAUUUUCAGAGACUGCCCAGUCUGAGUACUAGUCGCUUCAAAAAUCAUAACUUGAGUUUCACAACUCAAAAAUCAGUUUUGUGAUUUUUCCCUGAAACUAGACUCAUGUCCCCACCUAUGGAUUUUUUUCUAGAAUUUUUGGUCGGGCCAAUUAGUACAGUUUAUUAGUCAAAGUCUCCCAUGUUACAGGGGUCGACUACACUGACAUUUUCCCAUUACGACUUGGAUAUCUCUCUGCACAGAGCUUCAAUACUGAUGCCGUUUGUUUCUAUGGAAACUAGACUCAGAGAGGAAUCCAUACAUAUAUGGUAUGACCCCUAAUUAUCUCUGGUCAAUUUAUAGUGAAUUUCCAAAGGCGGAACAGUGAAUCCAGAAACUGUUCUGGCCCUGUUCCACAAGAACCCGAAUAUCUCUUUCUGUACUGUUCCUAUAAUUGUUUCGUUACUUCCAUAUGAAAGUAGAUUCAUCAAGGUUCGAUUACAUAAUUUAUUCACUAUUUAAUUCCACUCCUACGAAUUCUUGUGAUUUUUCCAAUCCACACCACUGCUGCUAUCAGCUUCUGUUUUCAAAGUGAACCUUACCUAAUUUGGGGUUUCAUGGACCAACUAGGGCCUUGUCAUACAUAAGCCCACAUAUGAUCAUACUUAGCCAUUCUAGUGGCUGAUCAUUUGCUCAACACUUCCAUUCCAACAUAGUUACAUCAUGAAACCAUCUAUACAUUCACAAAUACGAAUGGUCUAAUGCCAUACUCCACUUCUACAAGCCAUUUUCGCAUGGCUGUACACUUAUACAUUUCAUAAAGUACUCGAAAGACAACAAUGGGUAGUCCUAUACAUGCCAUAACAAAAUUCAACCAAAAUAGUACCCAAAAGAGCCUUUGAUAGUGUGGGCGACUUCGACUUCAAGAUCCCGAGUCCGAUAGCUGGAGAACCAAAAAUCUAUAAAACAGAGGAGCAAUGUAACGAGUAAGCAAUUUAUGCUUAGUAAGUUUGAGAAAGGAAUUCCAGCAUGCACAAAGAAUAGCACACAUUUAGCUAAACGGAAUAUUUCAUAAUACGCAAUUUACCGAUAUCAAACUUGCUUCACAACAUUAACAACCCUUAUGUACAUACACAAUAAACUAACUUGGCCGAAGGCCGGUAGCUCGUUUAUCAACUGAGCGAACAUUUAUUUGUAAGGGCUCGAUUAAAUUCAACACAUACGUAACAUAUCCCCAUAUUGGGAUGUUUUUCGAGUAUUCGCUGGAAUUUUACAGCAAGCUCAUUCAUUACCAAAUCACGUACCUUCGGGAUUUAACCGGAUAUAGCUCCUCGUUCAAAUGCCUUCGGGACAUAGCCCGGUUUUAGUAACUCACACAAUGCCUUCGGGACAUAACCCGGAUUUAACAACUCGCACGACUGCCUUCGGGACUUAACCCGGAUUUAAUAACUCGCACGAAUGCCUUCGGGACUUAACCCGGAUUUAAUAACUCGCACGAAUGCCUUCGGGACUUAACCCGGAUUUAGUAUCUCGCACAAAGGCCUUCGGAUCUUAAUCCGGAUAUAUUCACUUAGCACAAAGCCUUCGGGACUUAGCCCGGACAGCAUUCAAUUAAUCAUGCACAUCUAACAAUAAUUCAUAGCACAUUCAUAUUUCAUUUUCGUUUACGAAACUCAAACACAAGGCACAUAUUGCCCUUGCACAUUCGGCUCAAUAGCCACACAUAGAGCAUGAUUUAAUCACAUCGAAAUUUAAGCUCUCUUACUCAAGAACUUACCUCGGGUGUUGUCGAACGAUUCCGCUAGCUAUUCAACCACUUUUUCCUUCCCUUUAUCGGUUUUAUUUCCCCUUUGCUCUUGAGCUUAAUCAAACAAAUAAAUUGACCUCAUCAUUUUAGGCAUCAAAAGAUGAACACAAGGCACUUAGCCCAUAUUUAUACAUUAGACAUUAAAGUCUCAUACAUGCAAAAAUCAUGCAUCAACACAACAUAUUAGCUAAUUUCUUGCCCUUGGCCGAAUAUGCAUGUCCAUUUUUGGGGUCGAUUUCAACACUUAAUACACACAUGUACACACUAGUAAAGCAUCCUCCCCCUUUUUAUCAAUUUAACACAUGCAUUGCUCAUUAACAUGCAAAGUUACAUUCGGCCUUAGCACACAUCUUGCUAGCCGAUUCUUCUCCAUUUAGCAACCAAUGCACAUAUGUGCUCACACAACAAAAAAAAUGCUAAAAAGGAGGUUCAAGAAUCAUCAAGCCAUCAUCACAUGCAUCAUUAACAAGCUUCAUAUUUUGCAUGCAAUGGCAUUAACACAACCUCCACCUAGGCCGAAUCUUAACUCAUCCUCAUGCCUCAUCACCACAACAUCAAACAUCAACCAAGAAUGAUUCAUCCAUGGUCAAGUGCCAUUUCCAUCACAUAGCAAGAUUUAGACCAUGGGUUAGGUAGAACUCAAGCUAACAACUAAAACAUGCAUGCCUCUCAUGGAACAUCAUCAAACAUACCUUAGCCUAGCUACAUGCAUGGCCGAAUCUCUUCACCUUUCUUCUUCUUUCCUCCUUAAAAUUUUUGGCCAAGGAUGAACCAAAGGAUGAGAAAAUUUUUCUUUGUUUUUCUUUCUAGUUUUUGGCAAGCAUGAAGAUGAGAAAAGGAUGAACAAAAUUCCCCCUUUCUCUUGUUUAGCUCACGGCAAUGGGGGGACAAACACCACACACACACAUUUUUUUUUUCUUUUGUUUUCCAUUUCUUUAUUACCCAUACUCCUUAUUUUAUUCAUCCACUAACAAAACAUGUUUCAUGACAUGUUUUGCCCAUCCUUCCUUGUCAUGGCCGGCCACUACUCAUUAGGGGGGGGAAUUUGACAUGCAAGUCCCCCCCUUUGUCCACAUGCACUAGUAGGUCCUCACACAUUGACCUAUCACAUUUUAGAAUUUUCUCACAUAAGUCCUAUUGACUAAAUUCACAUGAAAUCAACCCAAUUGAAGCUUGAAAUUUUCACACAUUCAUAAUUACAUAUUCUACACAAUAAGUAUCACAUUCAAACAUUUCGGUGACUCGGUUUAGCGGUCUCGAAACCACUUCCCGACUAGGGUCAACUUUUGGCUGUCACACAUUAUGCUCAAAAUAUAUAUAAGCCAUUUUCGCAUGGAUAUCCAAAUUCGUACAAUAGCGAAAGGUACAUGACCAACAUAAAAAAGGGUAGUCCUAUACAUGCCAUUUCAGAGUUCAACCAAAAGUGUACCAAAGGGGCUUUGAUAGUGUGGACGACUUUGACUUUGACAAUCCCGAGUCCGAUAGCUGACGAACCAAAAUCUAUAAAACAGAGAUUCAAAGAACGGAGUAAGCAUUUAAUGCUUAGUAAGUUUUGAGCAAUAAAAUUAGGCACAACUGAAGUAUAGCAUUCAUAUAACUAAACGGAUAAUUUCAUAUACACAUAUUCUCAAAAAUCAGUCCUACUUCACAUUUCCAACCCUUAUAUUCAUACAUAAGGGAUCAACUUAACCAAAGGCCCGAAAGCUCACUAAUCGACUGAGCGGAUAAUAUUUAAACUAAAUCACUACUCCAAUGCAUAUACGAAACGUACCUUAUCGUUGGGAUUUUACGAGCGUAUUAAUUGAAAUUAUUACAGCAAGAUCGCUCAUUCCCAAACCAAGUACCUGCGGGGUUUAGACGGAUAUAGCUACUCGCUCAAAUGCCUUCGGGACUUAGCCCGAUUAUAGUAACUCGUACAAUUGCCUUCGGGACUUAGCCCGGUUAUAGAAACUCGCACAAUUGCCUUCGGGACUUGGCCCGGUUAUAGUAACUCGCACAAAUGCCUUUGGGACUUGGCCUGGUUAUAGUAACUUGCACAAAUGCCUUCGGGACUUAGCCCGGAUAUAGUAACUCGCACAAAUGCCUUCGGGCUUAGCCCGGUUAUCAAUCCGAAUAUCCAUGCACAUAUCAAUAAAUCACGACACAUCAAUAUUUCAUUUUCGUAACUAGAAUUCAAACACAAGUCACUUAUCAAGCAUUAUCAUUUUCAGCUCAAAAGCUACAUACAAAGGGCAUGAUUUUGAUUUGCUUAUAACAUAAUCUAAUCGAAUCAUAAUCUAAGUUUCAUUACUCGAAAACUUACUUCGGAUGUUGUCGAAUGAUUUCGGCGGCUAUUCGAUCACUUUUUCCUUUCCCUUGUCCAACUUUGGUCCUCUAAGCUCUUGAGCUAAUUCAAGCAAAAUUUAACUUAUUAAAGUCUCAUUAUGCUAGCUUAUGGCCGAAUAUGACAAGGAGUUGAUAGGUCAUAUGGCCACCUUUAGCUCAAAUACAAAGUGGUCAUACGCAUUUUUAAUCACAUUGAGCAAUUUAAUACAAUUAAUCUAACAUUUCCUCAUGUGCACCUUCAUGACCGAAUACACACAUCAUUAACCUAAUAUCAAUUAACUAAGCACUUUAACAAAUUCUCCUUGAGCCGAUCAUCUAAGUCAAGAUAAAAGCAUCAUUAUGCUUGCCCCUAACCAAUACAUGCAACACCAAUCUAUCUCAUGUGGCCGAAUAUGCAUGUCUAUGUUGAGGCCAAUUAUAUGCUUAAUACUUCCUACAAAUAUGUUUACUUGUAUUAACUACAUACCAUUUUGUUUCAAGUUCAAAACUCGGCUAAUACACAUAUAUACACUAGUAAUCAAAUACUCAUAUUUGCACUUCACCUUACUACCAUUUCUCAUGCAAAUAACAUGAACAACAACCAUAUUUCCUACUAUGGCCGAAUGUAUCAAGUCACCAUACCAUUUCAAUUUUGGUCAUGGGUUAAACAAAGAACCUAAUGUCUAACUCAAAAAAAAUGCUAAAAAGAAAAUCUAAGAGGCAUCAAUCCACCAUCACAUGUAUCAUUACAAAGCUUCACAUUUAGCAUGCAAAUGACAUCAACACAAACCACCUUAGCCGAAACUUAACUUAUCUUCAUGCAUCAUCACCACAACAUCAAACACCAACCAAGAAGACAACACCCAUGGCCGAAUAUCAUCUCUAUCACAUAGCAAAGAUCUAAACCAUGGGCCAGAUAAAACUCAAGCUAACAAUUAAAAACAUGCAGGAAUCUCAUGGAACAACAUCAAACAUACCUCCUCCUAAACACCAACCAACCGAACAUGAAGCAAGAAAAUCCUUUCUUCUUCCUUUCUCCUUAGAAUUUUCGGCCAAAGAUGUUCAAGAAUGAACACUUUUUUUUUGUUUUCUUUCUUCAAUUCACGGUAAUGGGGGGGGGAACAUGGAUGAGACAAUUUUUUUCAACACUCCUCCCUUUGCAUUACUUUAAUACUAACCCCUUUUUUUACUCUUUCUAACAUAACACACUAACACAACAUGUUUACAACAUGUUUCCACCCAUAGCAUGGCCGGCCACUAGCUCAAAAUUUGGGUAAUUUGACAUGCAAACCCAUCAUUUUUAUAACAUGCAUUAAUAGGCCACUUUACAUUUGCCUAGCACAUUUCUAAAUUUUCUCACAUAAGUCCUAUCUACUAAAAUUCACCUAGAAUUAACAAAAUUCAAAUAUGAAAUUUUCACACAUGCAUAUAUACAUAAAAUAAGCAUCAAACAUGAUAUCUAAUUAUUUUUAUGACUCGGUUUUGUGGUCCCGAAACCACUUCCCGACUAGGGUCACAUUAGGGCUGUCACAACUCUCCCCCACUUAAGAAAUUUUCGUCCCCGAAAAUCUUACCGGUAAACAGGUUUGGGUAUCGUUCUUUCAUAGAGUUCUCAGGUUCCCAAGUAGCUUCUUCCAUCCCAUGUUUGAGCCAUAACACUUUUACUAGAGGAACCUUUUUGUCUCGCAACUCUUUCACUUCACGAGCUAGGAUACGAAUUGGUUCUUCUUCAUAACUCAUAUCGGCUUGAAUUUCAACCUCGGAGGGACUUAUUAUGUGCGAAGGAUCAGAUCUGUAACGUCAAAGCAUCGAAACAUGAAAAACGUUGUGGAUCCUUUCGAGUUCAGGGGGUAAAAGCAACCUAUAUGCAGCUGGACCAACUCGUUCGGAGACUUCAUACGGUCCAAUGAAUCUCGGACUCAAUUUGCCCUUACGGCCAAAUCUGAGUAUUUUUUUCCAAGGUGAAACUUUAAGAAACACUUUGUCUCCCACCUGAUACUCAAUGUCUUUUCGUUUCAAAUCCGCGUACGACUUCUGACGAUCUGUGGCUGCCUUCAAACUUUCACGGAUUACUUUUACUUUCUAUUCAGCAUCUUUAAUCAAAUCAACUCCGAAAUUUUACUUUCACCGAGCUCGGUCCAAAACAAUGGUGUACGACAUUUACGACCGUACAAAGCCUCGUAAGGUGCCAUCUUAAUACUUGACUGAAAACUAUUAUUGUAAGCGAAUUCAAUCAAAGGUAAAUACCGCUCCCAUGAACCACUAAACUCGAGGAUGCAACAUCUCAACAUAUCCUCAAGUAUCUGAAUUAUCCGCUCGGAUUGACCAUCGGUUUGGGGGUGAAAAGCGGUGCUAAAAUGCAACUUGGUACCCAAAGCUUCUAGCAAUUUCUUCCAAAAUUGUGAGGUGAAUCUCGGAUCUCUAUCCGACACAAUAGAAAUGGGCACCUCAUGUAAUCUCACAAUCUGAGAAACAUACAAUUCAGCUAGUUUAUCCAAUGAAAAAUCCGUAUGUACGGGAAUAAAAUGAGCCGACUUAGUCAGUCUAUAUACAACAACCCAAAUCGCAUCUUUCUUACUUGCCGACAAUGGCAACCCAGAUACAAAAUCCAUCGUAACUCGAUCCCAUUUCCAUUCAGGUAUCAUGAUCGGCUGAAGUAAACCUGUGGGCACUUGAUGUUCCGCUUUCACUUGUUGACAUAUUAAACACUUCGAUACAAAAUCGGAAAUGUCUCGUUUCAUACCAUGCCACCAAAACUGACGUCUCAAAUCGUUGUACAUUUUCGUACUCCCCAAGUGAAUUGACAUUCGGCUACAAUGAGCUUCGUUCAGAAGCAUCGAAAUGAGUUCUGAAUUUCUUGGAACACACAAACGACUUCUGAACCUCAAACAAUCGUCAUCAUCAAUUUGAAACUCUGAUUCCGUAUUCGGAACACAUUUAGCCCGUUUUGCAACCAAUUCAUCAUUGACUUUCUGAGCUUCACGAAUUUGAUGGAUCAACAAUAGUUUGGCCUUUAAUUCUGCCACUAACACAUUGUCGGAUAGAACGGACAAGUGUACAUUCAUUGCUCGUAAAGCAAACAGUGAUUUCCGGCUUAAGGCGUCCGCAACCACAUUAGCCUUUCCCGGGUGAUAAUCAAUGACAAGCUCAUAAUCCUUCAACAACUUAAGCCAACGCCUUUGUCGCAGAUUCAAGUCUCUUUGAGUCAUCAAAUAUUUGACACUUUUGUGAUCCGAAAAUACAUGGCACUUCUCACCAAAUAAGUAAUGUCGCCAUAUUUUUAAAGUGAAUACGAUGGCAGCUAAUUCGAGAUCAUGGGUUGGAUAAUUUUUCUUAUGUGGCUUCAGUUGCCUUAACGCAUAAGCUACAACUCGACCUUCUUGCAUCAAUACACAACCCAACCCAAGUAAGGAUGCAUCACUGUAAAUGACGAACUCCUUGCCUGAUUCGGGCUGCACUAGUACUGGAGCUUCCGUCAAAUGGGUUUUCAAUUGAUCAAAACUUUUCUGACACCUUUCCGUCCA
rnacentral:lncRNA from 1 species